rnacentral:rRNA from 1 species
UGGGAACUGCGUUNUGAACUGGGUGACUAGAGUGUGUCAGAGGGAGGUAGAAUUCCACGUGUAGCAGUGAAAUGCGUAGAGAUGUGGAGGAAUACCGAUGGCGAAGGCAGCCUCCUGGGAUAACACUGACGUUCAUGCCCGAAAGCGUGGGUAGCAAACAGGAUUAGAUACCCUGGUAGUCCACGCCCUAAACGAUGUCGAUUAGCUGUUGGGCAGCAUGACUGCUUAGUAGCGAAGCUAACGCGUGAAAUCGACCGCCUGGGGAGUACGGUCGCAAGAUUAAAACUCAAAGGAAUUGACGGGGACCCGCACAAGCGGUGGAUGAUGUGGAUUAAUUCGAUGCAACGCGAAGAACCUUACCUGGUCUUGACAUGUACGGAACCCUCCAGAGACGGAGGAGUGCCUUCGGGAGCCGUAACACAGGUGCUGCAUGGCUGUCGUCAGCUCGUGUCGUGAGAUGUUGGGUUAAGUCCCGCAACGAGCGCAACCCUUGUCAUUAGUUGCCAUCAUUAAGUUGGGCACUCUAAUGAGACUGCCGGUGACAAGCCGGAGGAAGGUGGGGAUGACGUCAAGUCCUCAUGGCCCUUAUGACCAGGGCUUCACACGUCAUACAAUGGUCGGUACAGAGGGCAGCCAAGCCGCGAGGCGGAGCCAAUCUCACAAAACCGAUCGUAGUCCGGAUUGCACUCUGCAACUCGAGUGCAUGAAGUCGGAAUCGCUAGUAAUCGCAGGUCAGCAUACUGCGGUGAAUACGUUCCCGGGUCUUGUACACA